rnacentral:rRNA from 1 species
GCUCAGGACGAACGCUGGCGGCGUGCCUAAUACAUGCAAGUAGAACGCUGAAGAGAGGAGCUUGCUCUUCUUGGAUGAGUUGCGAACGGGUGAGUAACGCGUAGGUAACCCGCCUUGUAGCGGGGGAUAACUAUUGGAAACGAUAGCUAAUACCGCAUAACAAUGGAUGACACAUGUCAUUUAUUUGAAAGGGGCAAUUGCUCCACUACAAGAUGGACCUGCGUUGUAUUAGCUAGUAGGUGAGGUAAUGGCUCACCUAGGCGACGAUACAUAGCCGACCUGAGAGGGUGAUCGGCCACACUGGGACUGAGACACGGCCCAGACUCCUACGGGAGGCAGCAGUAGGGAAUCUUCGGCAAUGGGGGCAACCCUGACCGAGCAACGCCGCGUGAGUGAAGAAGGUUUUCGGAUCGUAAAGCUCUGUUGUAAGUCAAGAACGGGUGUGAGAGUGGAAAGUUCACACUGUGACGGUAGCUUACCAGAAAGGGACGGCUAACUACGUGCCAGCAGCCGCGGUAAUACGUAGGUCCCGAGCGUUGUCCGGAUUUAUUGGGCGUAAAGCGAGCGCAGGCGGUUUGAUAAGUCUGAAGUUAAAGGCUGUGGCUCAACCAUAGUUCGCUUUGGAAACUGUCAAACUUGAGUGCAGAAGGGGAGAGUGGAAUUCCAUGUGUAGCGGUGAAAUGCGUAGAUAUAUGGAGGAACACCGGUGGCGAAAGCGGCUCUCUGGUCUGUAACUGACGCUGAGGCUCGAAAGCGUGGGGAGCGAAACAGGAUUAGAUACCCUGGUAGUCCACGCCGUAAACGAUGAGUGCUAGGUGUGGGAUCCUUUCCGGGAUUCAGUGCAGAAGCUAACGCAUUAAGCACUCCGCCUGGGGAGUACGACCGCAAGGUUGAAACUCAAAGGAAUUGACGGGGGCCCGCACAAGCGGUGGAGCAUGUGGUUUAAUUAGAAGCAACGCGAAGAACCUUACCAGGUCUUGACAUCCCGAUGCUAUUUCUAGAGAUAGAAAGUUACUUCGGUACAUCGGUGACAGGUGGUGCAUGGUUGUCGUCAGCUCGUGUCGUGAGAUGUUGGGUUAAGUCCCGCAACGAGCGCAACCCCUAUUGUUAGUUGCCAUCAUUCAGUUGGGCACUCUAGCGAGACUGCCGGUAAUAAACCGGAGGAAGGUGGGGAUGACGUCAAAUCAUCAUGCCCCUUAUGACCUGGGCUACACACGUGCUACAAUGGUUGGUACAACGAGUUGCGAGUCGGUGACGGCGAGCUAAUCUCUUAAAGCCAAUCUCAGUUCGGAUUGUAGGCUGCAACUCGCCUACAUGAAGUUGGAAUCGUUAGUAAUCGCGGAUCAGCACGCCGCGGUGAAUACGUUCCCGGGCCUUGUACACACCGCCCGUCACACCACGAGAGUUUGUAACACCCGAAGUCGGUGAGGUAACCUUUUGGAGCCAGCCGCCUAAGGUGGG